rnacentral:rRNA from 1 species
GAUGAACGCUGGCGGCGUGCUUAACACAUGCAAGUCGAACGAUGAAGCCCAGCUUGCUGGGUGGAUUAGUGGCGAACGGGUGAGUAACACGUGAGUAACCUGCCCUUGACUCUGGGAUAAGCCUGGGAAACUGGGUCUAAUACUGGAUAUGACUUCUCAUCGCAUGGUGGGGGGUGAAAGAUUUAUUGGUCUUGGAUGGACUCGCGGCCUAUCAGCUUGUUGGUGAGGUAAUGGCUCACCAAGGCGACGACGGGUAGCCGGCCUGAGAGGGUGACCGGCCACACUGGGACUGAGACACGGCCCAGACUCCUACGGGAGGCAGCAGUGGGGAAUAUUGCACAAUGGGCGCAAGCCUGAUGCAGCGACGCCGCGUGAGGGAUGACGGCCUUCGGGUUGUAAACCUCUUUCAGUAGGGAAGAAGCGAGAGUGACGGUACCUGCAGAAGAAGCGCCGGCUAACUACGUG